CAAUAGUGUAUAUUAAAGUUGUUGCAGUUAAAAAGCUCGUAGUUGAACUUCAGACCUGGCCGGGCGGUCUGCCUAACGGUAUGUACUGUCUGGCUGGGUCUUACCUCUUGGUGAGCCGGCAUGCCCUUUACUGGGUGUGUCGGGGAACCAGGACUUUUACCUUGAGAAAAUUAGAGUGUUCAAAGCAGGCCUAUGCCUGAAUACAUUAGCAUGGAAUAAUAAAAUAGGACGUGCGGUUCUAUUUUGUUGGUUUCUAGAGUCGCCGUAAUGAUUAAUAGGGAUAGUUGGGGGCAUUAGUAUUCAGUUGCUAGAGGUGAAAUUCUUGGAUUUACUGAAGACUAACUACUGCGAAAGCAUUUGCCAAGGAUGUUUUCAUUAA
rnacentral:rRNA from 1 species